rnacentral:lncRNA from 1 species
CGUAUUUACAUAACUCAUCUUAUAUUAUCGCAUUUGGAAUAUUAUAUAAACUACGUUUAUACACUGAUAUUUCUACUUUUAUCUAUAUAUGUCUUAUUUUUUCGUUUUAUUUGCAUUUUUUAUUUUUCAAUUAUUUAUUUAUUUAUUAGUCUAAUAUUUAAUUUUUGUUUCAUUUUUAUUUUUUGUUUUUACCUUUAUAAAAUUAUGCAAGUCAAUGAUGCUAGGAAAAUCACAAAACAAAUGCUAUCCAGACCCCUCAAAGCCAAAAGACAA